CAGAGGCAGAGAAGAGUGGGUAAGAAGACAGAGUUCUCUAGGGCACGGCCUUACUCUCCACCGUAUAAGCACUCAGAGGUGCCUCACCAGACCAACUGCCCAGCAGCACCUGGCGAAUGUCGGAAGCAUUCUGCUUGGAGGUUUUACACUUAGAAGGUCCGUAUCUGAUUCCCGCAGAAUGAUAGACACCUUACUGCUUCCACCCACCCCUGUGAGAACAUCAGGUCUGGUUUCAAGGCUUCUGUCGCCAAGGUUUCUAAUCUGCAGGAUGCAAGACAGUCACUGGUUUCCUGAAGAAGGCAGGACAGCAUCUCCUCCUUCCCCCUGCCUUAUGUGCAGUUCUCGGUGUUCAGUCUCACAAAGGCUUGUGCAAAUCCUCCAGAUCCUAUCAGCCUCAAACCCUUCUCUCCAUAGGAGUCCCAAACCAGUCUAAGGACCAGUUAGGGACAGCAGGCACCAUUGGUACCCUGGAUCAUCUUCCCUAGCACAAGCCCCCAACAAAGUCUAUGAAGGGACACUGGUGGGGACUGGGACUGGGGGAGUGGGAAGUGGCAUCUAAUGUGAUCAAGGUCACAUCAAAGAAGAUUUAGGGCUAUAAAUAGGGCCCCAGACUCCACAAAUUCUCCCUGUUGUCUGAGGACUCCCAACUUUGCAGAAGACAAGGCACAGAGAGCUCCACUCAGAACUACGGAUGUGGUGGGGAAGUGGAAACCGAGCCGACAUUUGGUGUGUUGUAGCAUUCCCAUCUCUGGUUUAACACAAGCGAUGUGUUUCGCUCACAAACUGGCACUGAGAGCUCAUUUACAUUUAAAUAAGAGGCUUGUUAAUGCCAGCAGGAGGACGCUGUCAAUGCCAAGCCUGGCUCAGGAUUCCUGCCAAGGAGUUUCUAAGAGCAUCGCUCUAGGAAACUCCCCCAGAAGAGAGGCAAGCAUGCCUUCUCAUUAAGACAACUCCACCACAGUGACAUUUGCCUCAGAGCGGCAAGCCUUUGGCUGGGCUGAAAGCAAGUUGGAGUCUUAGAAAGUUAUCUGUUGCCAAGACAGUCAUUUAGUUUGAUUUGGCUCCACACCCACUCAGAGACCACCUGGCACAUGUAGGGUGGCCUGGUUGGGAGGGUGGCAGGCUCAUUCCUGACCUCUGGCCUCUUCAGUCAUAUUGGGAGGACUGGGUGUUACUAAGAAGCAAUGAAGACCAUCUUACAACAUAAAAAAGAGAGGGUCUACUCUGUUGUUGAACAGCUCUUAAUAUUGGAAGGUUCUUCCUGACAUUAACAUGAAAUACAUCUGUCUAUUGAAAGAAGGGUGUACUCAAAUGCCUAUAGAUGCCAAGCAGGGAACACAGAGGAGUGAGGCAAGCUGCUUAACCCUCAAAAGUGGUUGGGACUCUGGUAACGUGGCAUGUAGCUGCCUAGUCUAAAGGGGAAUGCACCGCUCAGCAAGAAUUGAUCUUGGGUUUUAUAAACAUGGAUCUUGUCCAAGUAGCUUAAAGACUAAUAAGGAAGUCAGAUAAUUAG
rnacentral:lncRNA from 1 species